rnacentral:lncRNA from 1 species
UAAAUACUACAGGAGAGCAGUGUCAAAAUAAUCUCCUGGCUGUCCUUUGACAGGCUAACUGAAGUGAACAUGAAGUUAUCAGCAAGGCCUUUUAAGCAAGGAGGGACCCUGAGCAGCAUGCCCGACCAUGAAGUUGCUUUCCUGGGUGCACAAAUGGGAGCUUCUGGUCAGUUUCAGAUAACUGCCUUUAAGUGGCAGGUCUGAAUAACCUCAUGGUAACCAAGGUCAUCUGAAUAACUUCAAUCCUCUGUAAAUACUGCACCACGGGAAAGGAAAACCUGCUCUACGAAGCUCUUUUUCUUGAUUAAGACCUCUGGAGUUCAACAGUAAGUCCUUGCUAAGUUCAGAUACCACUUAAGUGUAUUUAACUUCCAGUACUGUUAUGUCUGUGCUCACUAUGAUUUAUUUAUUUAUAUAUUUAUUAGCUUAGCUUGUUUUUUUAAGAAAUGAAGUAAAGAACAGUUAGGCAUCUGCUCUUGAACACUAAUGUUAUUUUUUCUGAAAUGUAAUGCAGUGUCAUCUUCUGGACUGUACUUUGUAUUCAAGAUCCCUUCACUAAUGUUUGUGCUGUGCAUUUUACAAAGGUGUUACUGAACUUGUAGGGAUAGACUUGUUCUUUUUUAAUAGCGAACCAUACUUAAGCCAAACAAAACAAACUUGCAGUCAUUUUUCUUUGGACUCACACCUCUUUAGUUGUGAUUGCAAGGCUCCUGUAUUGCUGGCGCUGACUGUGAUGGGUUUAGUUUCUCAGGGGCUGUAAUGUGAAAUAGAAGGUGUUACAAAAAUCAUUACUAUUAUACUUUGUUGACCCAAGCAGCACAACAUUCAGGCUUGCUUCACUUAUAAGGAGAAGGUGGAUAUAAUUCAUUGAUGUCAUUUCAUUUAUUUAUAGAAUCUGUUUUCCUGAAUGUAGGAACAAUUAAAUAGGGGCAUUUUGUGCUCAUGAGCUCAAGCCUUUUUCCUCUAGCUCCUGGCACAGAAGCCUCUUGCUGUUGAUUCUGAAACUGUGUUAAUCAUAUUAAGCAUUUUAUAGGAAUUUAGAGCAUGCUGGUCUUAGGAUGCUCAGCCUCAGUUUACUGCUGCAUGAAAAGAGUUUUAAGAUGGACAACUUGAUUUCUGUGAGGAAAGCAAUAGCCUUUGUGAAGCAUUUUAAUAUCUUUUCUUGGUAAUACCAGAAAUAGCAAAACUAAGCACUCGGCCAUGA